UACGGAGGGAGCUAGCGUUGUUCGGAAUUACUGGGCGUAAAGCGCACGUAGGCGGCUUUGUAAGUUAGAGGUGAAAGCCUGGAGCUCAACUCCAGAAUUGCCUUUGAUACUGCAUGGCUUGAAUCCAGGAGAGGUGAGUGGAAUUCCGAGUGUAGAGGUGAAAUUCGUAGAUAUUCGGAAGAACACCAGUGGCGAAGGCGGCUCACUGGACUGGUAUUGACGCCGAGGUGCGAAAGCGUGGGGAGCAAACAGG
rnacentral:rRNA from 1 species